GACGAACGCUGGCGGCGUGCUUAACACAUGCAAGUCGAACGGAAAGGCCCAGCUUGCUGGGUGCUCGAGUGGCGAACGGGUGAGUAACACGUGGGUGAUCUGCCCCUAACUUCGGGAUAAGCUUGGGAAACUGGGUCUAAUACCGGAUAGGACAAUCGUUUAGUGUCGGUUGUGGAAAGUUUUUUCGGUUAGGGAUGAGCCCGCGGCCUAUCAGCUUGUUGGUGGGGUAAUGGCCUACCAAGGCGUCGACGGGUAGCCGGCCUGAGAGGGUGGACGGCCACAUUGGGACUGAGAUACGGCCCAGACUCCUACGGGAGGCAGCAGUGGGGAAUAUUGCACAAUGGGCGCAAGCCUGAUGCAGCGACGCCGCGUGGGGGAUGACGGCCUUCGGGUUGUAAACCUCUUUCGACAGGGACGAAGCUUUGGUGACGGUACCUGUAUAAGAAGCACCGGCUAACUACGUG
rnacentral:rRNA from 1 species